rnacentral:piRNA from 1 species
AUGACAAAUUUGCUACUAUCUCACAGU